AGCGAACACUGGCGGCAGGCCUAACACACGCAAGUCGAACGAUCCUUCGGGAUAGUGGCGGACGGGUGAGUAACACGCGGGAACGUGCCCUUUGGUUCGGAAUAACUCAGGGAAACUUGAGCUAAUACCGGAUGUGCCCUUCGGGGGAAAGAUUUAUCGCCAUUGGAGCGGCCCGCGUUGGAUUAGCUAGUUGGUGGGGUAAAGGCCCACCAAGGCUACGAUCCAUAGCUGGUCUGAGAGGAUGAUCAGCCACACUGGGACUGAGACACGGCCCAGACUCCUACGGGAGGCAGCAGUGGGGAAUCUUGCGCAAUGGGCGAAAGCCUGACGCAGCCAUGCCGCGUGAAUGAUGAAGGUCUUAGGAUUGUAAAAUUCUUUCACCGGGGACGAUAAUGACGGUACCCGGAGAAGAAGCCCCGGCUAACUUCGUGCCAGCCGCCGCGGUAACAC
rnacentral:rRNA from 1 species